rnacentral:rRNA from 1 species
CCGGAAAUGGGCCUCGCGUGUGCCUGGAGAUUAGAGUUUGAUCCUGGCUCAGAUUGAACGCUGGCGGCAGGCUUAACACAUGCAAGUCGAGCGGUAACAGGAAUUAGCUUGCUAAUUUGCUGACGAGCGGCGGACGGGUGAGUAACGCGUAGGAAUCUGCCUGGUAGUGGGGGACAACAUGUGGAAACGCAUGCUAAUACCGCAUACGCCCUACGGGGGAAAGGAGGGGAUCUUCGGACCUUUCGCUAUCAGAUGAGCCUGCGUGAGAUUAGCUAGUUGGUGGGGUAAAGGCUCACCAAGGCGACGAUCUCUAGCUGGUCUGAGAGGAUGAUCAGCCACACUGGGACUGAGACACGGCCCAGACUCCUACGGGAGGCAGCAGUGGGGAAUAUUGCACAAUGGGCGCAAGCCUGAUGCAGCCAUGCCGCGUGUGUGAAGAAGGCCUUCGGGUUGUAAAGCACUUUCAGUAGGGAGGAAAGGUGCAAGAUUAAUACUCUUGUGCUGUGACGUUACCUACAGAAGAAGCACCGGCUAACUCCGUGCCAGCCGCCGCGGUAA